rfam:Asian citrus Psyllid, Diaphorina citri - Florida Strain, whole genome shotgun sequence.
CUGCACUCGCCUUGCACGCGGGAGACCCGGGUUCGAUUCCCGGCGGGGUCA